rnacentral:rRNA from 1 species
CCUACGGGAGGCAGCAGUAAGGAAUAUUGGACAAUGGGCGAAAGCCUGAUCCAGCCAUGCCGCGUGAAGGAUUAAGGUCCUCUGGAUUGUAAACUUCUUUUAUGUGGGACGAAAAAAGGGCAUUCUUGCUCACUUGACGGUACCAUUUGAAUAAGCACCGGCUAACUCCGUGCCAGCAGCCGCGGUAAUACGGAGGGUGCAAGCGUUAUCCGGAUUCACUGGGUUUAAAGGGUGCGUAGGCGGGUAGGUAAGUCAGUGGUGAAAUCUCGAAGCUUAACUUCGAAACUGCCAUUGAUACUAUCUAUCUUGAAUAUUGUGGAGGUUUGCGGAAUAUGUCAUGUAGCGGUGAAAUGCUUAGAUAUGACAUAGAACACCGAUUGCGAAGGCAGCAGGCUACACAUAUAUUGACGCUGAGGCACGAAAGCGUGGGGAUCAAACAGGAUUAGAUACCCUGGUAGUCCACGCCCUAAACGAUGAUUACUCGACAUACGCGAUACACUGUGUGUGUCUGNGNGAAGANAUAUAUCACNGAGUACGUCGCGAGAGAGACANANAGAUAGAGNGNGAGAGNGCGAGACGCACGAGGGAGAG